rnacentral:lncRNA from 1 species
AUAUCCACUCAAGGUUCACUGAGGCAUAGAAAUUAUUUCGAGUAGAACUUGCAUGAGGAUAAACUCACCUCUUUGUUCUGAAAAUAGAACGCAAUCACUUCUGCGUGUAGGUGGUUUUUCCCCUUUUACGAUCACAAAAAUCUUGUGCCUGCCAGUGCAUUGGAAAGUGACAAAAGUCUGUCUCUCAAAACUCCUACUUAACAAUUUUGGGUUUGGUUUGGCUUGGUUUGGUUUGUUUUUUAUUUUAUUUUAUUUUUUACUUUUUUUUUAAUCACCAUCUUUCAAAUCUCAGCUCAACUCUCACCAAGUGAAAAUUGGCUGCCUGGGAGAAAGUUAACUUUCUAGGAAGGUGGGAGGGAGGAUGAGGGACAGUUUACAUAGGAAAAAGGAAGUCUAAAGUGCAUGUUGAAAUACCACAUUACCACUUAUUUUCUGCUAACCCUAAAUUAUUUUUGCAUAUACACUUGAGGUGAUAGUCUGUGCCUAGACCUAAAAUGCACCAGCGGGGGGAUUUUUAAAAAUCCUUCAAAAUACCAGUUUUUUCCCACAAGUACAAUUGUUCUUGUGCCUUCUGUGGCUUUCGAUUUCAUCUUUUUGACUUUAUUUCCAAUUACUACAGCUGCAAUAAACACUAGAUUUUUUUUCUGGCUGUUUGACAUAACGUUGAUAGCUAUGCAUAUUUUGUGUCUUUUUAAAAACAAAGCGGGAGAAUACGUUUUUGAAGAAGAGAAUUUUUAGAACAGUUUGAUACCGCAAAUUAUUUUUUCUUCAAUUGUUUGAGCAGCAUUCGAGUUUUGAAAAUUCUUGUAGAAGCCAAUUUUUUGUAACUGUGGUGCAAAUCUUGUGUUUUCUUAGCCUAAUGAAAAGUAGUAUAGAAGCAAUAUUUCAUACCAUGUGCUAUAUAUGUGUGUGCGGGUGUGUGAACGUAAAGACACAUACACACAUAUACACACAUGUAAAAAUAUACAUAUAUAUAUGCGUGUGAAGUGGAAAGCUUACCUUUUCCUAUCUAGAUUUAAGGACCUAUUUUAGACAUUUGUUAUGUUUUGUGAAAAGAAUGUUCUAUUUGCAACAACAAAACAUUUAAUUCUUACUGUAUCUCUGGCUGUUUAAUGAGGACGUUUCGCAUUAAAUGGUAAAACAACGUGGAAGAUGGUAGAAUGUAGUAAUUAUUUAAGAAAAUGUUCACCCACAUGUUCCUGAAGUUUGCUUUGUGCCUCCGAGUAUUAUUUAAUUCAAGUGUUUUAUGUUUGCAGAAUCUUUGUUGCUGUGCUAGGGAAGUGGGUGGAUAUCAUUUUUAAAAAUGUUAAAAACAACAAAAAAAAAAGCAAAACAAAAACACUAAAGCAAGAGGGGAACUUUUAUAAAGCAAUGUAAAUAUUUAACCUCAUGGCUGUUGUUACGUAAGACAUGAGAUUUUAAUAAAUAACUACAUUCUCACAACAUCUGUUGAAUUUAUUAGGAACACUACAGUGACUGUAUAGACAGUUGAAAGCAUUCUUGAAAAUCCUGCUCUCUACUUUUAAAAGAUAACAGUCUCUUUCAUCAGAUGUCAAGGGCAAGGGUAAUGCAGUUUCUGUAAAUUUAGGAAAUUUCUUUUCUAUGUACAUGAAAACACUUAGUAAGAAACCCCCACCACCACAUACACGUACACACACACACACACACACACACACACACACACAUAUACAGGUUAAUACUAAGUCAUAAAGCUAAAGAUUUGGGGGCUUCAAAAAAAUAGGAUGUCCCUCAGAAGCAAUCAUAAAUUCAUCAAAGAGAAAGUGGUUUACAGAUUCCCUGAAAGCAGUGUACAUGUGAGGACAGAGCAAAAUCUCUUUGCCAUGUAUAUUAUAGAAUAUUCAUCCGUGUGAAUAGUACAAAUGUUUCCUUCUGGUACAAACUCUGUGUUUGCAAAUUGCAAGAAGCAUUGUUUUCAAAAAGCUCCCCUUAAAAGAAUGUAACUGGUUUAUAUGAGUAAGCGGUUACUGCAUUGCACUUAAAUGUUCUGUUGAAGGAAAUGCAGUUUUGUUUUCUGUAGAUCCGUUGGUUGUAAACCAUCUAUAAAACUAAAGCUAAAAUGUUCAUAUUCAGAGCUGGGAUCAAAACUGGUAUUUAACCUUUGCAUCUUCUUAUAAUUAUCCUUCUAAGAAUAUAACAGGAUCUGGAAGCGUCUGGACUUUGAGUCUUUCAACUGAGCCCUCUCUCAAAUCUGACACCCUCUAAAAUGCACAGACAGAAGCAGAAAAGGCAAACAGACUGGCCCUCUUUUGUGAAAAUGUAUUCAUUCUGUGUUUUAGAAUUAUUCUAAUCCUCCACGUGGGGGGGAAAAGCAUUUUCAAAUUGUAUAUUACCACUUCAAAAUUAGAAUUAGAAAAACAAAUUGUAUUUGGGGUUGGUCUCAGCGCUACCUACAAGAAUCAAAGGUCAUGGCUUCUCCCAAUGUUGUCCCAGCCAUUUUUCAUAUGUAUAUAGUAUAAACCGUGACAAAACACUGCCUUUAUAUUAUUUAGCAAUAUGUUGUAAAUAGCAUUAUUAAGCUCUUUUUU